CAUUACAGUUUGCUUUCUUUCAUCAUCUUUCAUGUUGAAAAUUCUUCUGUACACUUAUUUUUAAAUGUUUUUUAUCAAAACUUUCAGACGCUUCCUGCUUCGACAUAAAAUUGUGGCAUCGAGAAACAAAGCUUUAGAGCAGAUAUUCAAACCUCCAUUUAGUCACAUGGACCAUUGUGGCCCGUAUAUUCUCCAAGUUGCGAAGAAUGAAGCUUUACAACUCCCGCAGAUAAGGAAAUGGAAGGAAAUGAGUCUCAUUCGCCAAGAGAUAAAAGUAGAGAUUUUCCGCAGAAACAUCUGUGUAAAAUAAACAUGCAGCACUU